rnacentral:rRNA from 1 species
AUGCAUGUCUAAGUAUAAGCAAUUACAAAGCGAAACUGCGAAUGGCUCAUUAUAUAAGUUAUCGUUUAUUUGAUAGUACCUUACUACAUGGAUAACCGUGGUAAUUCUAGAGCUAAUACAUGCUGAAAAUCCCGACUUCGGAAGGGAUGUAUUUAUUAGAUACAAAACCAAUGCCCUUCGGGGCUCUCUUGGUGAUUCAUGAUAACUUCUCGAAUCGCACGGCCCCGCGCCGGCGAUGGUUCAUUCAAAUUUCUUCCCUAUCAACUUUCGAUGCUACGGUAUUGUCCUCGCAUGGUUGCAACGGGUGACGGAGGGUUAGGGCUCGACCCCGGAGAAGGAGCCUGAGAAACGGCUACUACAUCCAAGGAAGGCAGCAGGCGCGCAAAUUACCCAAUCCCGACUCGGGGAGGUAGUGACGAUAA